rnacentral:rRNA from 1 species
AUUGAACGCUGGCGGCAGGCCUAACACAUGCAAGUCGAACGAGUGGCGGACGGGUGAGUAAUGUCUGGGAAACUGCCUGAUGGAGGGGGAUAACUACUGGAAACGGUAGCUAAUACCGCAUACCAUCGGAUGUGCCCAGAUGGGAUAAGCUAGUAGGUGGGGUAACGGCUCACCUAGGCGACGGUCCCUAGCUGGUCUGAGAGGUUGACCAGCCACCCUGGAACUGAUGCACGGUCCAGACUCCUAAGGGCGGCAGCAGUGGGGAAUAUUGCACAAUGGGCGCAAGCCUGAGGCAGCCAUGCCGCAUGUAUGAAGAAGGCCUUCGGGUGGUAAAGUACUUUCAGCGGGGAGGCGUUACCCGCAGGAGAAGCACCGGCUAACUCCGUGCCAGCAGCCGCGGUAGUUC